ensembl:lncRNA
GCCUGGCUUCCUACAGGGAAUCAUCUCCCAAAUGGGAGUCAUCGCCGCCACCAUGACCCCUGUGGAGAGGAUGUGUACCCUCGUCCUGGACGAGAUGGCAAUCAAACACCAAUUUGAUUAUGAUCGCAGGAACGAUGCGAGAUACAACGAUGGUGUAUCUGCAUCUGGGGCUGCAGCAAAACAAGCGACGGUCGUCAUGGCUAGGGGCAUUAUGGGGAAAUGGAAGCAGACUGUUGGUUAUUUCUUUUCCCCAUCUUCAAUGCCAGCAGAUGAUAUUGCUACCGUCAUUAAGGAUGCCAAUCGCCACCUACAUCAUAUAGGGCUGACAGUAUGUAGUGCAGAGUUUUUUUUUUUUUUUUUUUUUUUUAAAUAGCAGCAUUAACAAAUUAACAUUAACUCCAACCUUGUAUUGACAACAAUGUAUUAACCAAUUUCAAAGGUGCAGGCAGUAAUAUGUGACCAGGGAAGCCCUAAUGUGAAGGCUGUGCGGAACCUUGGGGCUAACCUGGACCCUCUGGGAGGUGAGGAGUCCCACUGUAUCCUGGUGGGGGUUCAGAGGUGAUUUUUGAUGUCCCUCACCUUCUGAAAUCAAUCAGGAACAACCUGUUUAAACACGCCCUACAGACACAAGGAAAAAAAAUUCUAUGGAAGCACAUCAGCCAAUUCUAUGAGCUGGACAAGCACCACACUAUUCGGAUGGCCCCGAAGCUAAUUGAUAAGCACAUUCUGCUGCC